UUUGCUUUAUGUAUUUUCAUAUAGUUCAGUUUGGUGGAUAAUACCCAUAUUCUGUUACUUCGGUCUUUAUCUUGAUUUUCAAGGUGGCUGUAUCUUGCUUUAAUACAUGGUAGUAGCAGGCUCAAUGGCUACUUUUUUCCCCCUACAAUAAAUAGGCCUUCUUUUUUAGAGAAUUUUCAAGUUCAUAGCAAAACAUAGCAGAAAGUACAGAGAGUUUCCAUUUACCCCACGUACCCAUACGUGUCUAGCCUCCCCUGUUGUCAACAUCCUGUACCACAGUGGUACAUUGUUACAUUUACAUUAAGUCAUCCUUGUCCCCCAAAGUCCAUAAUUUAUAUUAGGGCUCAGUCUUGGUGUUGUACAUCCAGUGCACACAUGUGGUAUCACAUUGAAGAGUUCCACUGCCUUUAAAGUCCUCUGGGCUGUGCCUAUUCAUCCCUCUUUUUGCCGCAACCCUUAAUUCCUAACUUAAAAAGUUUUACUUUUUCCAGAAUGUGAAAGAGUUGCAAUCAUACAGUAGGUAUCUUCUUGGAUGUUUAAAACAUUAAAAUUCCAGGGUAAUUGAAUGUAGUGAUUCAAGCUAGCCUUUGUCCCUUGUUUUGUUUUGUUCAUCAGUGUAGGAUCUGAUGACAUGUGCCUUAUGGACUGAGAAAGUGUGAUUUCUGUAGACAUGUGUCACAUAAUGGGGAGGGCUGAGAACAAUGACAUUAUGUACUACUACCUAGCACUAACCAUUGGUACCAUCCUCGUCUAAGAGUGGUGGAUGAGAGUUCUGAAGACACGUCCAGCAGUCUUUCUGUUUGCCAUGGUGCCGAUGAUUCAUGGCCUACAUCAGAUGAUGGCGACUUUAAUGU